UACGUAGGGGGCUAGCGUUGUCCGGAUUUAUUGGGCGUAAAGAGCGUGUAGGCGGCCAGGUAGGUCUGCUGUGAAAACUCGAGGCUCAACCUCGAGACGUCGGCGGAAACCAUCUGGCUAGAGUCCGGAAGAGGAGAGUGGAAUUCCCGGUGUAGCGGUGAAAUGCGCAGAUAUCGGGAAGAACACCCGUGGCUAAGGCGGCUCUCUAGUACGGUACUGACGCUGAGACGCGAAAGCGUGGGGGAGCGAACAGG
rnacentral:rRNA from 1 species